UUUUUAGUGUGAGUAUGUUUCAUGUAAUAUUUGGGAUAUACUUGUACUAAAA
rnacentral:pre_miRNA from 1 species